rnacentral:tRNA from 1 species
GGAGGGUUGGCCGAGUGGGAAGGCAGCGGGUUGCUAAGCCGUGGUCAGGGGUCUCCCUGCGCGAGUUCGAAUCUCGCACCCUCCG